AGAAUCUCAAACUUCUCCUCCGGCAUCGUCGUCUCCCGUAUCGUCUUCCAAAUUGGUUCUUGUUGUUGGUGGAUCCGGUGGCGUUGGACAGAUAGUUGUAGCAUCAUUACUCAAUCGGAAUGUCAAACUGCGUCUUAUUCUUCGAGACCCUGAGAAAGCAACUACUCUAUUUGGCGAGCAGGACGAGGAAAAACUGCAGGUAUGGAAAGGUGACACGCGGAGUCCUACAGGCAUAGAUCCAUCUGUAUUUGAGGGUGUAACUCAUGUUAUUUGCUGCACUGGAACCACUGCUUUUCCGUCUAGGCGGUGGGAUGGAGAUAACACUCCAGAAAG
rnacentral:misc_RNA from 1 species